AGGAGGAGCUAAGCCACCCUAAAAUGCAAAGCUAAAUUUUGUGAUGCUUGAUUGAGCUUAAAGGCUUGAACUGAGUGAGUCUGAGUGUCUAUAUAUUUAUCAGUAGUACUGGAGUAACUGAUGGAUCAGUGAUACAAUCAUUGAUACAAGUUAUGACUGAUGAGAAUUACCAGCUCACUGGAUCCUGACUCUAAGAAUCUGAGGAGUUAUUACGUGUGUAUCCUCCAUAUAUAAAUUAUUUUGAAGUCACUAAGGAUGCUCUUAGUUCCUGUGAUCGUCAGUUCCCAAGGUUUCAUGCUUUCCUUAAGUGUAAUGAGUCCAAACCAGAGUGUGGCCGCCAGACACUAUCAGAACUACUGAUAACACCAGUACAAAGAAUACCAAGGAUCAUAUUAUUACUACAAGAUUUAUUAAAGCGUA